GCCAGUGUGGUAUAGAGGUUUGAAUGCUGGACCAUGACUUUGGAGACCAGGGUUCAAUUCCCAGUUCAGCCA
rnacentral:tRNA from 1 species